CUGAGUUCCAGUCAGCCUGAAACUACCCUGAGUCAUAAGCUUUCCCUGUGAAGACAGAAAUUGCGGCUUUCAGGCCACGCCCCUCCCCAUCGGCUGCAAAGCUGGACGCCUGGCUCCUCCAUUCAUGACUCCUACACUUGCAGCCUACUUUUCACUCUCCCGCUCACUCCAGCCCUGACCAAGGGAGUUCAUCCCCAUCUGAGGUUACAUCAUCAUGAUACCCAGCUGGGGACUUCUUUCAACCUGCGACCACUUCCUGAACUUUUUGGCAGUCCUCUGCAGGAACCCCUGUGAAGAACAGUGUGCCAAGGGGCACAGUGAGGCCCAUGGAAAGCUGACAGAGCACAGUACAGAGGAGAACGUGGAUGGGGUGCUAUGGAUGAGGAAGCCUUGGCUCCUCUGCAUCUGAGUUCGUCCACAGGACUAUUGAGCAUCUUCAAGGCACAGCCACUAGUUUGCCACAGAGACAGCCAUUUCAAGAGAGCCCGGGUGGAAGCUGCAAUGCCCUUUAUGAUUAAUCUUGGAAGUCCCACCGUCCCGGCAGCCCUACCCUAUUGGUCACAUGGAGCAUCUCUGAUUUGGUGUGGGAGGGAAAUACACAAGAAUGUAAAUGUCCAAAGCCUGGGUCACUUCUCACAGAUCACAAAGCACUCCUGGAGCAGCCCCCACCUGCUUCCUCUCUGAAGUCUCACCUGAGCUGUCCACUACUGCUCUUCUCCUCCUACCCAGGGGAACCCUUUUUUAGGUUAUUGCAGGGUGUAGAUGGAAGGCCCACAUUUUCUACUGUUGUUAACCAAGGUAAUUGUCCAGUGUGCAUGAAUUAUUUAUCUCACUCAUAACUACCCGAAAUUCCCCUGAGGCAUUGGUUUUCAAUGCUGGCUGCGAAUUAGAACUACCUGAGAAGAGAGAGAGAGAGGGGGGGACGGGGGUGGGGGAGAGAGAGAGAGAAAGUAUGUGUGCGUGUAUGUGUGUGUAUUCUAUUUUAUAUACAGUCACGUGCUACUUAAGGAUGUUUCAGUCAACAAUGACUACUUCCGGGAUGGGGGGCCGGUGAGAUUACAAUACUGUAUUUUCAUGCUACCUUUUCUACGUUUAGACACACAAAUACUUACCAUUGUGUUACAAUUGCCUCCAGUAUUCACUGCAGUAACAUGCUGUACAGAUUUGUAGUCUAGGAGCAAAAAUAGGCCUUUCUAUAUAACCUAGGUGUGCUGUAGACUGUGCCAUCUGGGUUUGUGUAAAUGCACUCUAUAAGGUACACACAAUGACCUAACAACGCAUUUCUCAGAACGCAUCCCCAUCAUUAAGAGACGCAUAACUGUAUUAUCCUUUUUAUAUUCUAUUCUAUUUCAACAGUAAUUCUCCCGCAUCACAAACGUGAGCUUCCCCAGUCUUUCUCUGAUUUACUUGAUCUGGAACAAGUUCCAACAAACUAAUUUUUUUUUUUUUUUUUUUUUUUGAGACGGAGUCUUUUUCUGUCUCCCAGGCUGGAGUGCGGUGGUGCGAUCUCGGCUCACU
rnacentral:lncRNA from 10 species